AACGCUGGCGGCGUGCUUAACACAUGCAAGGUCGAACGGGGAUAAGCAUGAAGAUUCGGUUGGAGUGCUAUCGAGUGGCGGACGGGUGAGUAACGCGUGAGCAAUCUGUCCCAGACAGGGGAAUAACACUUGGAACAGGUGCUAAUACCGCAUAAGACCACGGCAUCACAUGGUGCAGGGGUAAAAGGAGGAAUCCGGUUUGGGGUGAGCUCGCGUCCGAUUAGAUAGUUGGUGAGGUAACGGCCCACCCAAGUCGACGAUCGGUAGCCGGACUGAGAGGUUGACCGGCCACAUUGGAACUGAGAGACGGUCCAAACUCCUACGGGAGGCAGCAGUGGGGAAUAUUGGGCAAUGGGCGCAAGCCUGACCCAGCAACGCCGCGUGAGUGAAGAAGGCCUUCGGGUUGUAAAGCUCUGUUAUAGGGGACGAAGGAAGUGACGGUACCCUAUAAGGAAGCCCCGGCUAACUACGUGCCAGCAGCAGC
rnacentral:rRNA from 1 species